rnacentral:rRNA from 1 species
AUUGAACGCUGGCGGCAGGCCUAACACAUGCAAGUCGAACGAGUGGCGGACGGGUGAGUAAGGUCUGGGAAACUGCCUGAUGGAGGGGGAUAACUACUGGAAACGGUAGCUAAUACCGCAUACCAUCGGAUGUGCCCUGGUGGGAUUAGCUAGUGGGUGGGGUAACGGCUCACCAAGGCGACGAUCCCUAGCUUGGCUGAGAGGCUGACCGGCCACACUGGAACUGAGACACGGUCCAGACUCCUACGGGAGGCAGCAGUGGGGAAUAUUGGGCAAUGGGCGAAAGCCUGAUGGAGCCAUGCCGCGUGUAUGAAGAAGGCUUUCGGGUUGUAAAGUACUUUCAGCGGGGAAGCGUUACCCGCCGAAGAAGCAACGGCUAACUCCGUGCCAGCCGCCGCGGUAAUUC